UCUGUGAGCCUAAAUUUUUGUGGCUGUGGGACGGACAAGAACCCCAUCUUUAGCUGAAAUAAGGAAAAAUCCUGCAACAUUUUUGGCACACACCGUGGGGGCUCCAGAAGUGGCUUCCCCAAAUCAAACUUCAGUUUCAAAAUUGUCUUCCCUGGCACCUGGCUUUUUGAAUACUUCAGAGGUCCCCUGAAGUGUCCAGAAAAGAGAGGUUAUUGCUCCCUGAGUGUCUCUCUUAGGGUCAGGCUGCAAAUUUUCCUCAAAGCAGCGUAAAAGAAGAAGGGACACUCAUAAAUCCCCUGACCAAUGCCUCUUCGUUUAGAGAUGCUUGCUGUUGGAAAGCUUGUGAAGACCUGCAUCCCUUUGUAUCUCAAAUAAAGACAGAGGGUUGAAGACAGCAAGUGCAUCUCUGGGCAACCACUGCAGCUGGCCAUGAGGGACUGACGCAUACUGUUGAGGCUGAUCUUACUCUGUCUCCUCCCUAUGAACAAGGCCGUGAAACUGCCACUCCGUCAGGUCCUUGUCUUUCCAGUUCUCUUUCUUUGUGCCAUUGGGAUUAUAGAGAAUCAGCUCAUAAAAGUCAAAGUCCCCAGAGGCUGGACUCCAGCUGAACCAAAGGCUGUCUGUCAUGUUCCGAUUGGACCCCCUGAGAUGACUCACAGAGGCUGGGACUUAAACAGAAGAAAAAUUCUUAAUGAGAACAAAACAGAAACAAAGCCAUUUUGGCCCACAGAUUAGUCACGCUGCCGUCCAUCCCAAUAGCUUUGCUAUUCUUUGGAGAAUGAAGACUGUUGCCACAUUGGAGGACUUCUAAGCAUUAAUGAGCAGGUUGGACAACAUCAUUGUCACUAUCAAGAUGACUUUGUCCCUUCUUGCUCUCUCUCUUUUACCCUUCCAAAUCCUCAAUCGAAAUGCCUGGACUACCCAAAGCUCACGAGAAUUCAAAGCUAUCUAAUCUACCUGAGCCAAUGAUUGUUCUGGGGUGGUACUGGGAAUUCCCUUCUGUCUGGUGAGUAUGGUCUACCAAACUGGUUAGUUCUAUACUGGCACAUUCUCAAAGGGGCUGUUAUUAUAUAUGAACAUGUA